CAAAGCCUUCCGGUAAAAGCCCAGCUGGCUGAUGCCUUAAUUUGGGGUUUGUGAAACCAGGAGCAGAGACACCAACUGAAGCAGCCUAGCUUUCUGAACUACAGAACAGUCCAUCACUCCCUCAGAUCCCUCUAAGACAUCUGCAAAAAGGAACAGUGGUUCUUUUAAAAGCCAGCCAGCCUUCCCGCUGAGCAUGCAAGUUCUGCCACUUAUGGCUGGAGGUUACUUCCUGUGUGCCAUCCUUACCCAACUGAAGGUGUCUGACUGAUGCUCUGUGUUGGCUCUCAUAUCCAGCUGGACUACUAAAUCAACUGGAGACCUCAAAUUGACUAUAUUCUGAAAGAAGAAGCAGACAACAUCUGAAUACACUGCUUUCCUGAAAGUCAGGACCAGCUUUCAUCUCCUUUGGUACCUAGAAUGGUUAAUGUUAUUAUUCAAAUAUAUCAAUCACUAGUGGAUUGGCCAUAAUUCCUCUACUAAAAGUUUGCAAAGCUGUUUGCUCCUUAGAUAAGAGAGGCUCCAUUUGAAUCAGGAUUCCAGAGGAAAAGCAAGGAUGUACAAUGCCUUCUAGAAGGAGAAUAAGGAGUGGACAUAUCCUAAUGCAGCUUCUCAUGAGAUAGCAAGAGGAACACAUCUUUGCCCCUAACAUCAGCAAGCUUGAGUGCCAGUGCCUUCAAGUAUCAUUGUUAUCAUGUGGUGUCAUUAUUAAUAAUGGCUAAUUGUUUACCCUGUACCUGCUAGGUAACAUGUCCUAAUAAAGGUUACAGAAUCUCA